ensembl:lncRNA
AUCUGAUACAUCAUGAGGAGAAUGGGCUGCCAUCAUACAUGGGGCAGAGAAUCUGAGUUGAUGCAGGUAACCCACCGAGAUCCUCCUUGGCGUUUCCUUGCCCACUUGUGAUGGUAACUGGAGAAACACAGCAGCUUGGGUGUGAGAAGGGCAUGGUGACCAGGGCCCUUAGGAAUGAGGAUCUUGCUCUCACUGACGUUAGCAAUGGUGGCAGCUGUGAGAAUCUGGAAUGCGUAACAGGUGAGAGCAAACANNNNNNNNAAGAGGGCUGUAGUUCUUCCGGAUUUCCCUCUUCUUAGUCUCUCUCUAGACAAACCCAACCUUGGAAAGGAUGCUCUGUGCAGUUGUGGAGCUGAACCACCCAGAUCCCUCUUCCAGGAACAACCUGCUGCCCAGAGGCAGGGACUCCCUCCACUUGUCAGUUUGUCCAGAGUUGGUCUCAGGGGAAAAGGGCUGCUUCACCUGAGAUCACUCUCUCCUCAGGGCAGCCUGCCUCUACUGACUGACAGCUCAGGGUUGUAAGGGCCUGAAUGUCAUGCCAAAUAUGAGAUACUUUUAUGAGUGAUUCUCUUCAGAGCCUCUGCUGGUCUGGCCAAUGUCUCCACAACCUACAGUGCAGUUUUGACUUUUCCUUUGACCAAUCCAUUCCCUUCUCUUCUCCCAUUACUUCAUGUUGAUUCUCAAUAAACAUCUUGCACCCCAAACUUCACCUCAGUAUCUGCUUCCAGAGGCCGCAACUUAUGAUAUAGUCUGACCUUGCUGUCAGUGAGGAGCAGCACUUGGGUUGUAAUAAUGAACACAACUUGAACCAGCUGAAACAAACAUGGGGAUUUAUUAUAAGGAUAUUUGGGAUAUCUCACAGAAAAUCCAAUAAUCAAGGCAAGAAAAUGGUAGAGAUAAACCCAGACUUCAAGACAAGAACCAGAUCCUGGAACCCAGCCAGGACGCUUAUGACUUGGCUUCCGUGGUGGCUUCACACUUCUCUCAUUGCAGCUAUGCCUCCUCAUGUGGUAGAAAACACAGCCACUGACACCACUCACAUUUAUGUACCAAAGCUUCAGUUGUUAACAUUAUGUAGAAAAAUAAGAGAGUCCUAGCUUUCCAGAAGCUUCCUAAUGGGAAAGAGAAAACAUGCAACGAUUUUAUCACCAGUGAAAUACAUGUACAGGUUCACAUAGGUUGAAUAGGUAUUAACAAGGAACAAGGGCAUUUCAGUGGCAGUAGAUUGACAAAAAAGCACACACACACAAAAGCAUAAAGACAGAUUGUAGAGAUUGUAGAACUCUCAAGUAGGUUAAGGACACAAAAACAAAACAAAAGCAAGACUGUAAGAGGAAAGAUAAAGUAUUCAGAAAUUAUGAACAGGUAUGGUUUUGUAUAAAAGUACUCAUAUACCACGAGGACAUUACAGCUUCAGUCCACAAUUGUAUGUGUGUGUGUGUGUGUGCACGCACAUGUGCUCAGUCAUGUCCAGCUCUUUGCAACCUCAUGGACUGUAGCCCACCAG